AGAAACAUUUUGCAGACAAGAUGGCAUUUCUCUCUCCCUGCCAGAUUAAGUUGGAACAUUGCUGUUCCCUAGGGUGGUGGGUAAUGGAGAAGUUCCUACAGACUGCAUGCUGCCUGUGAACCGUGGGUCAAGAUUAUCUAAGAUCUACAUUUGGAGACCCUUAGUCAGAAAAAUGAACCUUUAUUCUUUCAGGAAGACUGUUUUGAAGCCAGCUGAGCUUCUGAGAAAGGAGUUGAAGAGGAAAAUGGCCAUCAUCCAGAAUAAAAAGCAACCAGGGAAUUACACUGACUUUUGUUACAAAGAAGAAAUCAACAAACAAUAAAUGGGAAAUAUGAAGAUCUGUAACAUGGAGCAAAGAUGCCCAAAUGGAAACAGAGGGCCAGACAAAACCUGGUCUGGCAGAGACAGGAGUUGCCAGGCAGCAUGGUCACUUCUACCACAGCCUCAUAGAGCAGCUCUCCCAUCCCUCCCACCCAGCCACGGGGCUGACAAUGCUGGGGACAACGUGCAGUCUGCAGGGUGAGGGCAAAAUUAGCUUAGUUUUAUUUUUUUUAAGAUUCCUUCAGAAGGAUGGUUAGAAAUUUAUACAUGUUUAUUAUUAUUUUGGAAGUGUGCUAUUGUGGUUUAUUUUUGGUAUAGCUGAUGCUGUCCCAUGUGUAAAAUUUAGUGAUUGGCAAUUAAUGAUGUCAUUAAUAAAACAACAAGUUACU